UGGCACCACUGUUUGUUAUAAAAAAUUUAGACUUUGACAGCGCCCUCUCAAAUCAAAGAGUUUCGGUCAUUUCAUCCAUGCUUUUAGAAGGUCGAUAAAAAUAUAAGAUUUAUUUGUGUAUUUUUUAUUUGUUGUUUUUAGUUUCACCUAACGCAAAAUACUGUUAAGGAGUAUUUGAAGUAAGUCAAUGCACAUAAAAAUAUCAGAAUAAAGUGAUGCGGACUCCCUUGCCGCCCAAACCGGUUUAUUGUGGACGAGGGGACAACAAGGAAAUACGAAGGGACCGUGGGGCUCAUGCUCGGGUAUUCUUGUUCGUAACAGUUCGCUGCUACGCAAUUCAUCAUUCUUUUUAAUUUUGACAUUCUUUUCAUGGUUAAAAUAGCGCUCAGUUUCAAAUGAAUUUAUGCGUUCCGAAAUUUGAAUUUUGUUAUCUAUUUUUUAUUUGUAAUAUGCAAAUAUGCAUAGAAGAAUAGAUAUAUUAUGAAAAAUGGUAAUUUAAAUAUUUAAUAACAUUUAGCAGUAUUAAACGUAUAUAUGAAUGAAUUUUAAUAAAAAUGGAGUUACUUUUACUCUUUUAUAUUUACCUAGAUAUAGUAAGAUGCGUUCAUAUUUAUGUCUUUUAAGGGCAAAGGAUAGAGUUCGAAUAUCAUUUUAUAAAAAAAUUACAGCUAUAUAUAUACUGUCCGAUAGAUUAGAACGUUCCCGUCAUAAGUUUUUCCUUGAAAAUAUAAAUAGCGAGUAUUCUAAAUAUUGUUCUUUCACAUUAGUGGUAAUUCCUUGCAAGCAAAAUGUGAGACCACCAUCCCAAUAUUGAAAUGAUUUACGCAACACGCUGUAAGUGUCGAGUAUCCAAACUGCAAAAAAAAUAUAGUAAUGUAUUACUUUUCAAUUAAAAA